GAUGAACGCUGGCGGCGUGCCUAAUACAUGCAAGUCGAGCGAACGGACGAGAAGCUUGCUCCUCUGAUGUUAGCGGCGGACGGGUGAGUAACACGUGGAUAACCUACCUAUAAGACUGGGAUAACUUCGGGAAACCGUAGCUAAUACCGGAUAAUAUUUUGAACCGCAUGGUUCAAUAGUGAAAGACGGUCUUGCUGUCACUUAUAGAUGGAUCCGCGCUGCAUUAGCUAGUUGGUAAGGUAACGGCUUACCAAGGCAACGAUGCAUAGCCGACCUGAGAGGGUGAUCGGCCACACUGGAACUGAGACACGGUCCAGACUCCUACGGGAGGCAGCAGUAGGGAAUCUUCCGCAAAGGGCGAAAGCCUGACGGAGCAACGCCGCGUGAGUGAUGAAGGUCUUCGGAUCGUAAAACUCUGUUAUUAGGGAAGAACAUAUGUGUAAGUAACUGUGCACAUCUUGACGGUACCUAAUCAGAAAGCCACGGCUAACUACGUG
rnacentral:rRNA from 1 species